GGUUACAGCUCAGUGGUAAAGUGCUUGCUUAGAAUGAGUGAGGUCCUGGGUUUGAUUCUCAGCACCA
rnacentral:tRNA from 1 species